UUAAAAGCACUUUAUGUUUUGUAGAUGUAUUUUUUUUCAGACAGGGCACACACAGUCCUGUUUCCUUUGUGGCAAAAGCUUCAAACGUCACCAUCCUCAGCUGAAACAGCAACAUCUUAACACCAUCUUCAUGAACUGCUGAUCCAAACCUGAUCCAUCAGUGCUGGACUGCACAGAUAACUACAUGCCACAAGGAGACUGCUGUUUUAUGAACUGCCAUAUCAGUGUGACAUCAGUGGAGAAGAUCACAUCACCUGACCUCCUGCCUAAUCUAGAGACCAUCACUAUGCUGCCACAGUCCACACCUCUGAAACCAUCAAGGAUGACUCAUACUGAGGAAACUGUACUUUCUGUCAGAGUCCAGUGAUCUUCAGAGCAGAGAGAGGUAUUGCUGUCUUCUGAGUUUUUCAGUUUCCAAACUGAGACAUUCAAACCUUUUUGCAGAGCUCAUGUCACACUCACAUGUGAGAUUGCUCUGGAUUCUGGUUAUGUCGCCUGCAGCACCUAUAAGAACAAGCUCGUACAGUGUGCCUGCAUUCCAGCUUCUUAGACUUUACACAAGUGGACAGAGUAUCAGUGUUUGGCCACUCUUACAGACACCGACUUCUGUCAACUCACUGCUACUAAUCAGGCACCUCACUCCAGGAAGACAGAGGGCUGCAAGCCUGUCAUCGUUUCCAGUGUGACUUUGCAUUCUUGGAGUAGCAUCAGAUUUUUCCCACAAAUAUUCAAAGCUUUAGAUGCAGUGAUCGGAUAUGCUGGAGCUUUGUUAACAGUGUGGAAAACGUGUUUGUGAUGGUAUUUAAAAUGAGGCUUUAAGGUGACAGUUUCCAUGUAAUUUCAGUCCUUUUACUAAACAAAAACAUCUUUUUCAUAACAUAUUUUUUAUUUUUUUUUAGCAGCACAUCAUUGGUCAAAGGUAAAAAGAGUCACAUGUCACACCAACAAUGAAUUUUUGACUCUAUUUGUGUCACCAGAUUUAACAAACAAUAUCAGUAUCAAAUCAUAUGAUAUCAUAUGAUAUAUCAUAUGAAACUGAACUUUGGAUUAAUGUGCAAAUAUAUUAUUUUGUAUUUUCGAUUGUUGAAUAAUUAUGUUGUAGAAAAACCCCAAUCUAUUUACCCAAACAACGCAACUUGUUUGGGUAAAUAGUGGAAUAGUGUAAUUUUAGUCUGUAAGUAUAGCAACCUGAAUUCAUACAAACACACAGCUCUAAAUCUUGAAUUGUUGGAUGCACAAUAAUGAUCAUUUGGUUAUUAUGGACAUUUAAAUCAGAAUCUAUUGAACCAUUACAUAUAUUCUUUAUAAAGAUUACACAACCUCAAAAUGCAAAAAAAGAAAGUGUUUUAGAGGAUAAAUAAAGAAAGCUCAAAGUGUGUUUGUAUGAAUACUGCCUUAGUAUGGGGUGUCAGUAAGUACAUGAGUAUGGAAUAGGUGUAACAGUGGUUUUCCACAUCUGUGCUUAGACUGCUCUAAUAUGUAUAGAUAAUGGGUCAGACAUAUCGUUUGACCCAUUAAGUCUGUUUGAAAAGUUCAUGAAGGUCUCAUCCAGUGCUAUGUGUUUCUGUUUAUCAUUUUAUAUGAGGUCACACAGCUGACUUGAGUUUUGAUCAGAGUAGAAUCAUAACAUACAAUAUUCUUGCCAAAACAGGUGCACCCCUGUUUUGGAAAUAUUCUUUAUUUCAUUCCUGUUUCUUUAAAUAUGUGCAUCAAUUGUUCAGCUGUGUGACUCUCCAUACCUGAAAUAUAUCCCAAUGUGGGCUUUAUUUCAACAGUAUUUUGUAGUUUGGUACCAUAUUUAUUAUCAAAUCAAAAAGCUGUAACUGAAAAAAAAGAAGCUCUUGAAAGUUACAUGUGCUAUAUGUAGCUGUAGCUCAGGUGUCAGAGCAGGUCAGCUACUAAUUGGAAGGUUGGUGUUUCGAUCUCAGUCUGCUCCAGUCUGGAGCAUGCCAAAUAUCCUUGGGUAAGAUACUAACCCCAUGUUGCCCUUUGAUGCAUCCAUUGGAGUGUGAAUGUGUAUGAAUGUCAGAUAGUGAGCACUUAAAAGCUUAGAAAAGGUGCUUGUGUGAUUGGUUGAAUGAAUUAGUUGUAUAAAGUGCUUUGAGUGCUCAGAUAGAGUAGAAAAGCAUGUUGUUUAUCCUUGACAUACGGUGUGUGCACAAAACUCCAGCAAAUUAGAGAAUAUAUUUUGUCUUUCACUUCCUGCUUUUAUAUGUGUAUAUUUUUGCAGUUAAUAGCCUAUCAUGUGGCUUCCUAUCUUAAGGACAUAAACAUAAACAUGGCAAACAAAGAUAUUUACAAUUCUAACAGAUGCUUCAAUUGUUUGUAUAGAUUUUAGAUUCAUUUGAUUUGCAUUUUCUAAUAAUAUUUUUCUGAUUGUCCCAAAUGGUAUUUUUAUUUCUGUAUGCCAUUAUUGUAAUCUUUGAUCUUAUGUUUGCAAAAAUAUUCAAAUGUUUUACUUUUCUACUACUGUGUUUCUACUUUCUAAACUUUCUGCCACUCUUUGGAAUUUCAAUAACAAUUACAAUAACAAUAAUUUUUGUUUGUUUGUUUUAUCUCUGACCGCAGUAUCUUGUGCAUUUAUUACCUAAAUGUUGUUUGUGUGUUUUUGUUUUCUUGUUUUUUUUUGUUUUGUUUUGCCAUUUUUACAUUUCAACAGCUGUACAAACUCUGCAAUUUUACCUUGGUUUUGUUCCACAUUUGUUUAUCUGCUGGUUGUUGUUUUUUUUUCCUUUUCUAAUGUUUCUGGUAAUUUUUCACAGUUGAACAACAAGUAGCUUUGAGUUUACUUCAGUGUUUUUAGCUAUUUUCUGCUGACAGUUUGGCUUAAUUAUUACAUAUCUGCAAAAUUAUAGCACUUCUGCUAAGUUGUAAUAUUUCUGCCAAGUUAUUAAUUUUCUGCUAAAUUAUAUUAUUUCUGCUAGUUACACUACUUCUGCUAAGUUAUGUUUUGCUAAAUUAUUAGAUUUCUGCUGAGUCUUACCUUCUGGUAAACUACAAUA